UAGAGUUCGAUGGGUUGUUGCUGAUGCGUACCUGCCUCUGAGGAAAGGUUAUGGGGCAUGGAAGCUUUGAUCUUCUAAUUCUGCCAUGAACUUUGCAUCCUGGAGAUUACAUUCUCUCAUUUAUGAAAACCGCUGUGCUUUGUUGACCUCAGCAUGAGGCAAUUGUACUGCUUCGAUCUUUGUUCUUGGCCGACUAUACGUGCUUGGCUUUUAUUCGGGCAAGUUUUGCACGUGAUCUAUUAUGUUAAUUGGUAUUUAAAUAUAGUGAUUAAGACAAUUGUUUAGCAGAUAAGUUUGCUUAAUGGAAACGUGUUUAGAAAGACAAAAGUCUGUUCCAACUGCAAAUCUACCCAAAUUGGCUUGGGGAUGGUCAAAAGUGUCAUAUUUUGCCAUUGUGGUUAUUAUAUGAGUAUGUAGCAGCACGAGAUCUAAUUAGUCUUCUUAGGUAAUCCUUCCAUGUCGGUCCUUCGGUUAAUAUGGGCAUUCUUAUCAUCUGUUUGCACUGCAGCAACUCAAUCAAGGCCAUUGUAUUUUACUUUUGUGGACUUAUUGUUCGUUACAAGCACUAUAUCAAUCUCAAAUCAAUCAAGCGAAUUCAGUAUAUUGUAUUGUGAAAUUCUAGCCGUCUCUUUCAUGCAGAUUUGUUUUUAAUGGUGGGAAGCAAUUCCUUAUGAUCCUCUAGCUAACACAUGGAGCAAACCUUGUCAUUUCAAGACAUUGAGGAACUUUAAAAAGGAGGGUGGGAAUCCCUGUGGAAUAGACAUUUCCGAGCCAAGAACAUGCCACCUAUUCAUAACCAAGGGAUUUAGAACCCUCCACCUCAAGGCAUCAUGCCCUCGCCAAAUAUGGGCGGUGGAAUGCCUCCACCAUGCAACUUUGGUGGAAUGCCUCUGCACAACCAAAUGUGAUUUGAUCGGUAAUAUAUCUUAAUCAAAAUUUAAUUUUUUUCAUCUUUUAAUUUCAUCUUUCAAGUAUUGACGAGUUUCUAGAACUUCAUUUUCUUUUUAUCAAACUAGUUUUGUUGUUUUCAUAAAAAUGAGAGAUGUUAAUUUUUUUGUUCUUUUUUAUUUUGGUUAAAAGGUGAUUUAGGUUUUGAGUAGUCCAAGUCUUUAUUCAAGAUAAAUGAAAGUUGUAGGCACUAAAUUAGAUUGAAUAAAUUACCAAUCUCGGAGUCUCGAAAUUUCCAUAACUUAAACUUGUUUGUCUACAUUAGUGUUGACCCAAUAAGAAUCGAUGAUUUAUAUUUGUUGACACCUAAUUUAAAUUUAGCUUUUAGAAAUAAAAGAUAAUAUUUGAUCAGAGGGAAAUUUAAACAAAAAAAAUUGAAUUCAAAAAUUCAACAGCCAUUUAAUUUUGGAGUUACUUUUUUUAUGAGAAGUUGAGUGAAAAUCUCCAUCUACAGAAACAAACUUGGGUUUUCCUUUUAUAAAUAGUGAGUGCGAGACGUGAAAGAAGGGGGCUUUAUGAUUGAGUUUUCGAAACACUCACGAAAGGGAAUAGAAGUUUUGUGAGAGAGUUUUUUUUCUCUUCUGCUUAAAAGCAGAAGACAGAGGCAGAGAAGAGAGAGAGGGGAGUCGUCCGUGGAGUCCUCAGAGAAGGAGAGAAGCAAAAAGGAAAAUGUUUCUUUAGGCCCUGUUUGGCAACCAUCCAAACAGUGCCUGAUUUUGAUUUUUUGUUCCCAGAAUCAGUUUGGGAAUAGAAUCGCGUUUGGUAAAUUUUUUGUCCAAAACUAAUUCUAGGAACAAAUUUACUCCUAGAAUUAGUUUUGGACAAGAAUUCAGAAUAAUAAAAAAAUAUGAUUCUCCAUCCGAGAAUCAAAAGUGCCGAGCCUUAUCUCCUCUCUACUCUCUCUCGUCCUCUCAUCUCGACUUUGCUCGUCAGUCUCAUUCUCUCCCUCCUCAAGAAAGGCGACUGCUACUCCUCCCUCCUCAAGAAUGGCGACGGCGACGGCGACUGCCGCUUCUUCAUCAUUGAAGGGCGUCGUUCAAGGUGAGUUCCCUUCUAUGGUUGGUUUAGCGUCUGCGACGGGUGGCGCUCGCUCGGUGAGCGACCCCUGGGCUCGAAUCGGCGGGCGCCCACGCCGAUCUGACCGAGGGGUCCCUCGGCGAGCGACCCUUGGGCGAGCAACCCCUGGGGUCGACUCGGCGUCGCUCACCCUCGCCGAGCUGGCCGAGGGGUCGCUCGCCGUCCGACCCCUGGGGCCGAUUCGGCUUCGCUCGCCCUCGCCGAGUUGGCCGAGGGGUUGCUCGCCAUCCGACCCCUGGGGCCGACUCGGCGGGCGCCCUCGGCGAGCUGGCCGAGGGCGAGCGACGACGAGCUGGCCGAGGGGUCGCUGGCCUUUUUCUGUAUUGUGCUGGAUCUGUAAUUUUGUGUGCUGUGCUUGGUCAAAUUUGAAUCUGGAAAUUGCGAUCUUUGACUUAUAGUGCGAAUCUUAGAUCCGGAAUGAUGCUAACGAUUAGGUGUAUGGAUGUAUCAUGUAAGCGAAGUGGAGGUCAGGCAGUCCUUGUCUUUUAAGGUUGCGUAGGAGCCGUGUCUAUUAUCUUGAUUAUUUUGCGCGCCCCAGACUGAGUUUAUCUCCUCGAUCUGGACAUUGCAUUGCCACUCGGGUUCACAAAGGGUUGUUCUUGGUGAUCAGAUCCCAAUUUCAUUAGGACGAGAGUAGAUUUGGUUUUAUAGAGUUUAUGUGUUUGUUGGAGAGUCAAAUUUGGGCUCUAGCUUUGUAGAGGUGAGGCAGUAUGAUGAAACAGAAGUUAAUGAACGCGAAAAUGGUUGAUGGUCUUUUACGCAUGGAAGUUGGAGUGAAAUAGAAUGGUUUCCUUGUUUCACGUGGAUUCAUUUUGAUCUUGAGUUCCUGCAUACCACUGUUGCCAAUUCUUUGCGCGGAGAGCUUAUUCUUGUUUCGAUGUCGUGCAGGGGUUAUGUCAAGACUUCCUUUUGAAGCCAGAGUUGCUUCGUGCUACUGUGGACUCCGGUUUCGAGCACCCAUCCGAAGGCAAACUUCAUAUUCAUUGAAGUAUUGCAAAUCAAAUGGCAAUGGAUUACAAUAUGCCGGAGAUUCAAUAACUUUAUGUUUACGACUUUUGUAAUAUUGUUAUUAAUUAUUGACUUAUCAAAGUCGAUAUUCAAAGUUGAACAAUGGACUAUGUUACUUCAUUAUUCAUUUAUGGAUAAGUUGUAGUGUUGAGUUUCUCAUUAAAGCCUUUUCUCUCUUUCAAAGAGUCAUGUUGGUUUGAAGACUUUUAUCUUCUUAAACGUUGGAUGUUCGGUUUUGGGGAAGGGAAUAUAUAGAGAGAGAGAGAGAAGUAUCUUGGCUAAAUUAAAAUUAACAUUCAUUCAUAUUAAAUUCAAAAUGGAUUAGAUAUUUAAUCAUAUAAAAGUAAAUAUUAAUUGAACAUGAGAAAUCGCCCCGAUAAAAAAAAUCUUAUUUAAAUAUAAAUAAUAUUGAAAUUCUAAUAAGAAAACCAAAUUUAAAAUAACAACAAUUUUUGUUUUUAUUUUAUCUAAUUUUUUAUUUCUAUAUUUUAUUUUUAUUACUUCCUAUUAUGAAAUAUAUAUUUUUUGUAUAUAGAAUACAUAUUUAAUUUUAUAUUAUAAUUUAGUAUUUAUAUUUAUUACAUAUUGUAGGGAUAUUAGUAUAGUUUAUACUAUGGUUUAUUAUUUACUAUAUAAUAAAAAUUGAUUAGUUAAUAUUUUUAUUACUUAGUAUAAAAAUAUAAUUAAUCAGUGAAUGGUUUAUGAAAAUUCAAUAUCAAAUUUAUAUUAAUCUAAAAAUGUAAUUAAAAAAGAAUCAUAAUAAAAAUUUUAUAUAGUUACCAAACGUGUUUCUAUUCUUUUUCUAUUCCAGAAUCAGAAAUUUUAUUCGUUACCAAACGCGUUUUUUUACUCAGAAUCAGUUUCCGGGAACAGAAUCAGAAAUAAUCAUUUCUGAUCAGAAUCAGUUCCCGGGAACAGAAUCGUUACCAAACGCGCCCUUAGUGUUUUCUUUUAGCACAGUCAGCAGAAGGACCAAGCCUCUGCUGCUGAAGGUACAGUCGCAACAGUACAUUGCAGAGAAGUGACCGGACGUGCAAUGGAGAGAGAAAAAAAAUCACCGUUUCUCUUCUUCGGGCCCCUGCCGACACCCUCCAGUCACCAGUCCUUUUGCCGCUGCCAGCUGCCGUGCCACCGGUCGCCAUCCGUGAAGCCCGACGCUAGAGCUGCUGUCCUCGCCACGCUCCGCCUGUGGCCCGUUCGCCAUUGCUGCUCCCUGCUGCCUGGUUUCUCUGCCCGAACGACAACCCAGCUCCACCGCUGUCCCUGCUUCGCCUGCGACCUGUUGGCCCGCGACCCUCUUACCGUCCGUGAGCCGUGCCGACCUUCACUGAGCCUCCACUAGAGCCGAACCCGAGCCAGAUCUGUAACCCAGCCGCAUCACCGCACCCCUGUGCCGAUCUCUGUCGCUCCUACAGUUAGAUUCGACCACCGCGACCUCUGUCCAGUGACCUGACGCUGCUACCGAGCUGCUCCACCCACCUGGUGUCCGACGCUCUUCCUCCGAGCGACGCUUCUACACCCGCUCUUUGUUUUUUUUUUUUUUUGCAGCGGUCCUUUGACCAGGCAACAGCCACUGCUUGCUGUUGUUUUUCCCUCAUUGCGUGCCGGUCCCCUCGCUGGAGCUCCGACGCCGGCCAUCCUCCGCCCGGCGACGCCCAUUGCCGCCGUUCCUCUCUUUUUUAAAUUUUACCUAGCUAGUUUAUUUUUCAGUUUAUUGUCAUUUAUUUAUUCAUUUUAAAUUUUGCUAUUAUUGUUUACAUUAGAAUAUGGUUUGUCAAUGUUAAUAUUUAUGCAUUUUGUAAGCAUUAUCCGCUAGGAUUUUAUCCGGAAUUAAUAUAAUUAUUAAUUUAAUUCGAGAGACAUCGGAUUAUUUUUUAAAUUAUAUUAAUUUUUGGGCUUUUUGGUAUAAUUUUAAUUAUUAAAUUAUUAUAAUUAUUAAUUUGAUCCGUAAGAUUUUGGAUCAAAACUUUUAAUUUUUUUAAUUUUUUUUUGCCGUGAUAAUUAGGAUUAUGAUAAUCGUUAAUUUAAUCUGUGAGACAACAAGUUAUUUUUUCGAUUAUUUUAAUUAUUUAUUUUGUUGAUAGCUUAGAUUUAAUAUUUAUUUAAUAAUUAAUUAUCUUCAAAAAAACUAAAAAAAUCAGAAAAAAAAAAUCAAAAUUCUGUAUGAGCAUAUAGGUUUAGUAAAUCAGACAUGUAGGUUUAGUAAAUUAAAAUUUUCUUAGGAUUACAUUUUUAGGGUUGCAUUUUUAGAAAUAAGUUAGGGUUUGACCUAAAUUAAUUUUUUAGAUAAUGUUCGCACAUUUUAAUUAUUUCAUUUUUCAAAAAAUAGUUUUCUAAGAAAUGAUAUGGUUUAAGUCAAAUUAAUCCCUAGAAUAAAUUAGAAAAUUAUCCUUUUUUAGACAAAUUAAUUAGGGUUUUUAUUAAUUCUGAAUUUCAAUAAAAAUAAUAAUACAAAAACACUAGGUGCAUGUUAACUAGUUCACAUAAUAGGAUCAUUUAAUCAAAAUUUGUUCAUUAGUGAAGUUAGGUUACGAGGUGCAUAAUAACUAGUUUGCAUAAUAGGCCCAUUUAAUUAGAAUUUGCAUAUUAAUAAGAUUAAGUCAUUUAAUUAAAAAAUGCAUUUUUAUAAAAGAAUUCUAAUUUUCACGAAAAUCCAAAAAAAUAAUUGUUUUGUUUGUAUGUUCAAUUCUUUUGAUGCAAUUCAAUUUAUUGAAUGUUUAAAAAUGAUUGAGUCAUCGUGUGAUCACCUAUUUACAUGAUAGAAAUUUAAGUUAAAAUAAAUCUAAGCUGCCUGCAAAAAAAUAUUUUUGAAAAUUAAAAAGAAAUGGUACCAAAAUUAGUGUAACCAAGUCCUGAAUCUAUUAAAUUUCUAGUUUGCAAAAUUAAAGUAUUCUUCUAUACUUUACCUGGGUUUCUAAUCAACCAUAAUUGGUUAGUGGCGGCUCCAAAUCAAGUAUAAUUGCAUAUUAAAAUUGGUUAAUUUCUUCAUAUCAAAUCGUGAUUGAUAGGACUUGGGAGAGUCCGUGCCAAGUUUUCAGACUUAGUAAUCCAUUAGCCAUUUUGAGUAAUUCACUUUCGGGAAGGUCGCGACAAUAUUACAUAAGAUACAUCCUAGUGGGUGCUACAAAUACAAAAUUUCGAAAAUUAGCAAGCUUAUGUCCUAAUUUUCAGGAAUCAUCUCAAUGACACUUUCCAACAACCGCAUUCAUCUGACUCUUGGCACAACACAACGUUGCAACUACCUCAACAAUGCACAAGUCCAUUCCGUGAUUCCACGAGAGGCUCUUUCGCGGGCCCACCUUUUAGAAAACUUGCAACCCUCUCUCGCUCUGUUUCUCUCUCUUCUUUUCCAUUGCUUUGUCUUCUUUUUCUUUUUUCUUUUUUACUUUUCUUUCCCUUUGGUCUAUGAUUAGCGACUGGCGAUAGGUGAGGGCUGGCGAGGGCUCGCUCCUCGUGCCCAAGGUAAGGUUCGCUCUCAUCGGAGCUAAUGAGGUCGCGUGAGUAGGAGGGAGAAAGAGCAGAGCAUGAGCGAGAGAAGCACGAAUGGAAGAGAGGAGAGAGAGAGUGUGUGAAAUUGAAAUUAAGAGAGAGAGGCUUUUGGCUUGCGGUGGACCCAGGCGACAUAUGUUGCCUCGGGGAUGGAGUGGGAUUUUUACACUAGAAUUCCAGCUUCGCCUAUGGCAGAAACUCCUCUCAGAUUUCCCUUGGCCUCAGCCUUACUCGCGAAGGGCCAAUGUCUCAUGCCCCAUGAAAAAGGACGAGGAAAUAUGGACCAAAACAAGGAGAGGCAAAAGCACUAAAUGAUUAAGGUGUCUACCUAAGCCACUUCCAAUUUCUCCAAUUUCAUUUUAGGCUUAGCCGCAUCAAUUUAUGACACCAUAUUUUCCAUGGAAAGAACAAUCACGUUAAGGCUUCAUAGGACAGUCACUGCCAUCCGUCGAUCACGUAUGGACAUCUAGUGAACCAGAACUAUGAACAUAUUGAACAACAAUCGGCAUAAGAAAUCAUCACCAUGUCAAAUUUUCACUAUGUUCUAAACUAGAUCGUCAAGUAUGCUGAAUUAAACUGCCUCCGGCUGAAAAUUUCUUGAAAGGAAGGACUUGACUAUGAGUUUCGAAGAGCAUUAGGGUCAUCACUUACUAUUAUGGACCUCAAUUAUCGAAUAUAGUUAAAUACCACCUCUACAAUAUCAAUGCGUAUUAGGGGUGUGCAAUCAAAUUGGGUAUACCUAAGAACCAGAUCGGCCCACCCGAAAAACAGGGUUGGGAACUGGUUUCCGUUGAAACUGGUUCGGGAACUGAUUCCCAAAAUUCAAAAUCGGUUUAAACUGGUCCGGGAACGGGUUCAAUUGAUUACCCACCUAGGAAUCGGUCCCUGGACCAGUUUUGGAACCGGUUUUUGUAAGUAUAGGUCCAAAAUCCUUUUUUUUUCCCUUUAUUUCUAUUCUUACUCUCGCAAUCAUAUUGCGUUUUUCCUCUUGGCUCUCUCAAACACACACGACACUCCUCAUUCGUCGUUCCUCUUCCUCACUUGCUUCCCUCCCUCAUUGGCUCCCUCUCGCACAGUCCAACAAAUGGAUGUUAUUCGUCGCCGCCAAAUUCUUAUGUAUCAUGUGGAUUGGUUUGCUUAAUUUCUCUUUUGUAGAAGGAGUUAUACUUGCAUAAAUAAGUAGCUUCAUGUAGUAGUUAUGAGAAUGAGACUAAUAUUAAACCUAUGUUUGUUGUUAAUUCUUUGACUUAUGAUUUUAUUUAUUAUAAUUAGCCCUGUGGAUCCUUAAUUUUUCAUUUAAUCAAAAAGUUCAUUUAUUUAUUUAUUACAAAUGCUUAACGUUUCGAUACAAAUUAUGAGGAUUACAUUAUUUUCUUGCAUAUUAAUAUAAAAUUCGAAGUUGUAUAGAAUAUCGGGAAAUUGCAAAACAAGUUCCAAUAGAAACAGGGUUGACCCUAGAACCGGACUCGAAAAACAGGGUGAGUUGGGUAUAGGGUCCAAAAAAGAGAAACCAGUUAUAAUAGGGUCCGAUACAUGAUCUAGGUCUAAACCCUAUCCACCCUGGACCCAAUCACCCCUAAUGUGUAUGGUGAUUCAAACUAUAAAGCAAUGUGGCCAAAGAAUGAGUGAAGCUUCUAGGCACUCCAGAACCACACCAUUCCCUCCUCCACCCAAUUCAACAACCACGCUUACCCCUAAAGAAAACUUGGAUUAGAAGUUUUUGAUCUAGAAUAUUAUAGAUAUCCAGAAUAAUCUAAGGAUAUCCAACAAGCAAAUCUUCUCUUAUCCAAUUCUACAAAAGAAAAAGAGGCUAGGUGUGUUGGCUUCACAAAAAUAACUGAUUCAGAAAACAUUUUUCAAGAAAUGAUUGACUAUAUCAAUAUAGUAAAAUUAGUCAACGAAAAAUAUUUUCAUUAUCAAUAAAAUUUUAUAUACACUAUUUUCGUGGCCAAUAAGAAAAUUUCCAUCCAUUUAUUUUUCUAGACGAUAUUACUAACUAUUUUGAAAAGAUAUUUUUUAAAUCACUUUUUUUUUCCUAAACAAACGCAUCAUCAUACCCUAAAAAAACAUUCCACUUUUUAACUCCCGUCCAAAUUUUACCUUUUGUCUCGAAAACAGCGAACACUUGUCAGUCGUCGACUCCGCCAUGGCGACGUUGGAAGGUCGGUGACUCGAGUUUGUGGUCUUGUCCGUUUGCCAGGGUUCCUAUGGCGUUCUUUGCCUCCGUCUUUCGCAAAUCAGGUAACAAAUUUCCAUGAAUAAAUUUUUUCUUGUUCUGGCCAAGCACAAUGACUAAUUUUUGGUCUCUUAGCUCUGGUUUGGAGUGUUAGGCCGAUCUUAGCAUUUGUUUUGCGGUGAUUAUUAUGUUGUCUCUAUCAGGUGUUUGAGCUCAAAGGUGAUUCUUUAUCGCUACUUUAUGUGGAGAAUCGAUGCUGUGUUUUGAUUUAGAAUUUAUUUUGGCAUGAAGGGAUGAUUGGGGUUGUUUCUUUUUUUCUUUCAUUGCCAGAUGAGGCAUAUUUCCCUUUUAUGUGAAGUGAACGCCUCUUGAAAUUGGUCAUCAUUACAAUAUCAGGGCUAGUAGCUACGAGGAUGCUUGUGAAUGGUAUUUGGUGCAUACAGAAGCAAAAGUUUCUCUCGCUUUUGUGCAAAAGGUUCCUGAUAGUCAUUGAUCACCUUGAUUUAUUGGUGUCCCUAUUAUUUUGUCGCAAUUUGUUACUUGCUAUUACAGUGAAGAAGAAGCCAAAAUGAAGAUCUAUUCAGUUUUAGUAGGGCGAGGAUUUGGUUAAACAAGCAUCAAAGGUUCAUGGUUGGAAACCUCUCAGAAGUGACCAUUUUAUGCUUUUCAUGUUUUUUAUAUGUCUACCUAAUAUUCAUAUCAGUCAAAUUGCUAUUCUGUUUUCUGUUCGGUCAGAGCAUUCUCAGAUAGGGAAGUCAACAAAAGUUGUGCGGAUACAAUCUAUUCAAGCAUAGUCAUUAGUCUGUUGUUCCUAUGGUUUGCAGGAGCUUGGAAUGGAGACCUGGAAGUGAUGGGAAUGGCUUCAGUGAAUCAUACCCUAUCCAGGGUCCAUACUGGGGCAGUGGAUCAUACCUUGAGAUCAUGAAAAUAAUACGUCAUGCCCUACGACAGCUAAAGAUUAAUGUAACAUUGUUGAACAUAACUCAGAUGUCGGAGUUCAGAAAAGAUGCUCACACAUCGGUUUUUACGGAGCGGAAGGGGAAACUCUUAACAAAGGCGCAGAGAUCUAACCCCAAAACUUUUGGUGAUUGCAUCCAAUGGUGUUUACCAGGAGUCACUGAUGCAUGGAAUGAAAUUUUGUACGCCAACUUGUUAAAAGAUCAUCGAACCAUUCUACAGCGCCAAGCAUAGCCAGGUUUGAAAUUCCCGACGAAAACAAGUACAACUCGGGUGCAAAAAUGUUAUUUGUAGCCAUAGGAAAAACAAAAGAUACCUGCUCAUGACUACAUCAUUUCUAUGGGAAGUUGUGUCUUCUUUCGGACUACAUUUUAUUUUUCUAUCUCCAUAUCUCAACAAAACCUCCUAACAAUCAUUCUUAUUAAUGUCACAGUGGAUCAGUCAAAAAAGCUGGGUUUACCUUUCUAAUGCAGUUUACCUAAUUAAGUAUUGGUAUGACCUAUAAUAGUUCCAAAUCACACUCAACUUGAUGUUCUGGCAAACUCUGACGGUCUGGAAAGGCUGGAUGGUUAAGUAGUAUGUUCUAUUUCCUGAUUAGACUCGCUCUCAAUUUGACUGAUUUCAUACCAUAUUACAAGCUGUUCAUAUUCCUUUACCGUCCUUUCUCUUGAAUCAAAGGUAUGCGUGGUCUUCUUUCGAAUUGAACAGGAAAUGGAGCAUCAUUUAGCUGGGAUGUGAGAUGAGUUUAUGAUAACAUGUUGAAAACUUAAAAUCAUCCAUGAAUGGAAAGGAUGUAGAGAUUUUGCAACCAAAGAAAUCUGAAAAUACUAACCGCUUCCGCCAGACAGGGCAAACGGGGUAAAGCUGGAACCAUGAGGUAUACACCUUUUGAUACCAACUUCAUCAUCACAAAAGCUCCCUCUUUGGAAGGAAACUUCAGGCAAGAUUUCUGACUCAUAAGAUUCAACUUCCACUAGAUUGCUUAAGCUUUCAAGAUAUGUUGUCUUUGCCUCUUGCUCAUGGGAUGCAACUGGUGAAGACAUAUCAGAUGAAGCGAUCGUAUUUGAAGCACCAACGCUGCGAACAGUUUCAACUGUGAAGUUGUCACAAGGUCCUCCUCAGCAUGAACUGAAUCCGCAGGUGAAAGCUUGUUCAAGGCUAAACUUACAGUGUUUGCAAUGUGGUCGCUAGGGAGAUGAAUGGACAAAAAAUCAACUUCGCAUAAAUCCUUUUCAACAGAAGAGAUUAAGUACAUCUCAGGUGCGGACGACUCCCCAUGCACGGCAUUUUCCUUCCAAAACUUGGCAGCCUUUUCCUUGGUCAAGGUACCAUCUGUACGCCCCAAAGAUGAUACGGACAAUACACCCUUGAGUAUAUGCACGAAAAACUGGAGCCCUUGGGGAGUCGAACAUAUGUGUUUGUUGGUUCUUCACGCUACCGAAAGCAGGUGGUUCGUCCAGUUGUACCAUGUCUAACGACUUUGGCACCUCAAACGAAUUCUUGGAAGAGGGAUUACGAGUUUGAGACUCACUUUUUUCCUGGCUGGAGUCGUUAAAAGAAUGUCCCGGUAGGUUCUUAACUCUAGCAAAAGCAAAGGUUAUGUCGAGCCGUUCCAAUUCUGAAGAAGACUCUGACGCCCCAAACAAAUCUGGAGAAGAGGGAUCAGAAGUUUGAGAUCCAGUUGGCUCCAGACUAGGGUCGUUGAAUGAAUGUCCCAGUUNNNNNNNNNNNNNNNNNNNNNNNNNNNNNNNNNNNNNNNNNNNNNNNNNNNNNNNNNNNNNNNNNNNNNNNNNNNNNNNNNNNNNNNNNNNNNNNNNNNNNNNNNNNNNNNNNNNNNNNNNNNNNNNNNNNNNNNNNNNNNNNNNNNNNNNNNNNNNNNNNNNNNNNNNNNNNNNNNNNNNNNNNNNNNNNNNNNNNNNNNNNNNNNNNNNNNNNNNNNNNNNNNNNNNNNNNNNNNNNNNNNNNNNNNNNNNNNNNNNNNNNNNNNNNNNNNNNNNNNNNNNNNNNNNNNNNNNNNNNNNNNNNNNNNNNNNNNNNNNNNNNNNNNNNNNNNNNNNNNNNNNNNNNNNNNNNNNNNNNNNNNNNNNNNNNNNNNNNNNNNNNNNNNNNNNNNNNNNNNNNNNNNNNNNNNNNNNNNNNNNNNNNNNNNNNNNNNNNNNNNNNNNNNNNNNNNNNNNNNNNNNNNNNNNNNNNNNNNNNNNNNNNNNNNNNNNNNNNNNNNNNNNNNNNNNNNNNNNNNNNNNNNNNNNNNNNNNNNNNNNNNNNNNNNNNNNNNNNNNNNNNNNNNNNNNNNNNNNNNNNNNNNNNNNNNNNNNNNNNNNNNNNNNNNNNNNNNNNNNNNNNNNNNNNNNNNNNNNNNNNNNNNNNNNNNNNNNNNNNNNNNNUUUUCGAUAUGAUCGAAAUCUGUACGAAAGGUGUUCGGCAUCAAGGACAAAUACAUCUUAGAGUCUAGAGAAAAUUUGACACACAUGUAUGGAAACCACCACAAAUUGGAUAGUAGAUACCGGGCAAAAUUCUUUCUAGUUGUAAUGACGAAGAAGUUAAAAUGAUCUUGCCUGAAGUAGAAAGGAAAAGAAAAGCUGAUCGCAAACCAGCUCCGACGCUUAAAAGACAAACCCAUUACGAUGUUGAUCUAACUUUUUCCAGUAAUCGAUACUUUUAAAAGCCUCCUUGCUAGAUGAACAAAAGGCACUAUUCACUUGUCUUGAAGACCAAAGGGCACUAUUCACACUUAAGAAUGAGGACCGACCAAAAAAAAAAACUCAAGAAUGAGGAGCCUUAAAAAACACAUACAAAGAAAAACAAAUGCCCGAAACCAAUGUCAACAUUUCAUAUAAGUUUAUGAAACCAGUCACUGUUGCUAGCCAAAUGCUAAACACGUAAAAAGUCGUUUAAGUAAAUUUAAGAAGAAAACGGAAGAGACAAAGAGAAUAUAUAUAUUUUGAUAUGUACUCAUAAGUAUCACAUGAGCCAAUUUAUAACCUUUAUAGUUUGAUUAUCUACAUUAACAAAAUAUUACACAAUCAAUUAUAGUCAAUGGUAAAGAUAUUUAGAAUUUUUUUAUAUAUCCAUAAUAUCAUAAAGAUGUAUUAUAUGUAUUUAGAAUAUUCUAAAUAUAUCUAACAAGUAAAUUUUCCUUUAUCUAAUCUUGUGGAAGAAAAAGAGCUGCGUUCAUUUCACGGAAAAAGAAUGAUUUAAAAAAUAUUUUUGGAAAAUUAAUUACUUAUCAAAUAUGGAAAAAUUGGUCAAUGGAUAAAAUUUUAUGCACAACUAUUUUCAUGAGUGAUGAUCAUGGAGCCUUGCCUGAGGCUAGCAAGGUCCAGCUCGCAAGCUGUCAUUGUGUCAGACGACUAGCGAAGAAAAAGGAAAAGGAAAAUAAUUAAAAACUCGAUAUAAAAAAAAUUGAAUUCUAUUUUUUAAAUAAAAAUAAAAAAAUUACAAAUUAGAUUUUAAAAAAAUUAAAAAUUAAAAACAUUACAAAGGAAUGCAAUUGGAUUUUUCAAUUUUUAAUUCAUUUUCAAAUUUCAGACAAAUAUCCAAAAAUAUUGUUGUUUCUCAAACAAAAUGACUUCAUAAAUAUAUUUUUCAAGAAAAAAAGAGAACCUAAUUUUUUUUUUUAAAUUAUAAAAAUUGUCCAUUAAAUUUGUAUUUAGUGAAAGAGUUUUAGCAAUAUCAUCUUAAAAAAAUCGUAGAAAGACAAGCUUUCAUAGAUUUAGAAGUAUUUUAGCAAUAUAACCUUUAAAAAAAGUCACAAGAAUAAGCUUUUUAAAAUUUAGUUACGUAUGCAAAUGUUUUAGUAAUAUAAGCUAGCUCCUAUAUGAGUUAAAUAUAGGUCGAGUGGAAUUUACAUUACAUAAAAAUGGGUCAAAACGGCUUAAAUGAAUCAAUAUAAGUUGGAUCAUUUUCGACCCAACCCAAAUCUGAUAACGGCCCUAACGGUGAGUAAUUAUUUUUCAAAAAUUUUCUUUUCCAAAUUACUCUUCUUUUCGCGAAACGAAGGCAUCAUUGAUGUGAUACCCUAAAAAACCUUCCUCUUUUUCACUCUCGUCCAAAUUUAACCUUUUUUUGUCUCGAAAACAGCGAAGACUCGUCAGUCUCCAGCAUGGCGACGAAGCUCUUCACUCGCUCCCGCCUCCUCUCCAAGCCUCAGAGAGGCCUCGCCUCCCUCUUCUCCUCCGCUCCCGCCUCCGCGCCUCGCUACCCUCCCUUCCUCCCCUCCCUCCUCCGCUAUCGCCUCCGCCCUCUCUCCGCGGCCUCCGCGGAGUUCCAUGGCCGCCUCGCCGCGGCUUCUUCCGCCCGUGCCUUCGCGACUAGGGUGACCUAUUCGUCGCUCAACGGUCAGGGGCCCAACCGUUGGAGGGAACACUGGCACUGUGCCAUAAUGAUGGAAAGGUCGGACGAUAAGGCUAGCGAGAUCCUACCGGACGAUAAAGCUGGCGAGAUCCUGGAUACUUGUGUUAAGUUCCUUGCGGGGGCUGUUGGAGGGUCAGUGAUUCGAGUUUGUGGUGUUUAUCUGUUUGCCAGGGAUUUGUUUCGUGUGACCAUUUGUUUGUUCGUCCUCAUUAAAUGAACUGAGUAGGUUGAGACCGGCGGGUUUAUCGACUUCGAACAUUUUCUCUGCUUGUACUCUGUUUCGCCAUCGUUUAUCGGUCAAUUUUUUUCAGCUUCUUCAUGAUAUGUUAGGAUUUCCUACGGCGUUCUUUGCUUCCGUCUUUCGCAAGUCAGGUAACGAAUUUCCAUGAUUAACCUUUUUCUUGUUCUGGCCAAGAACAGUGACUAAUAUUUUGGUCUCUUAGCUCUGGUUUAGAGUAUUAGGCCGAUUUUAGUAUUUGUUUUGGAGUGAUUGUUAUGCUGUCUCUAUCGGGUGUUUGAGCUGAAUGGUGAUUCUUUAUUGCUGCUUUAUGUGGCAGAAUUGAUGCUGUGCUCUGAUUUAGAAUUGAUUUUGACAUGGAGGGAUGAUUGGGGCAUAUUUCCCUUUUAUGUGAAGUGAACACUUCUUGAAAUUGGUCUUGAUUACAAUAUCAUAGCUAGUGUUACAGCGACCGAGAGGUUGCUUAUGAAUGGUAUUUGGUCCCUAUUAUUUUGUCUAACCACAAUUUGUUGCUUGCUAUUGCAGUGAAGAAGUUGCCAGAAGGAAGAUCAACUCAGUUAUAGUAGGGCUCCACCACUUUAUAUUUAGAGCUCCUCUAUCCAGAGACCAGAAUUUCAACCUCGUAGGUAAAGCUUCUUGAUUGGUUUUCUUUUGCUUCUCUUUCUGGAAAGUGGUGCUAAUGAGUUCUGUUUUGUUGCACAGAGCUGGGAGAUAUACCAUCUUAUACUCAUAAGUACCUGGGCAAGUAUAAUGAAUAUGUGGGUAUGUAAGCUUUGAUCUUCUAAUUCUGACAUGAACUUUGCGUCCCGUAGAUUCCAUCCUCUCAUUUAUGAAGACCGCCCUGCUUUGUUGACCUCAUCAUGAGGCAGUUGUGCUGCUUCGGUUUUUGUUCUUGGUCGACUAUACUUGCUUCGCUAAUUAUUUGGGUUCAUAUUGCACCUGAUCUGUUAUGUUAAUUAGUAUUUAAGUAUAGUGAUUAAGACAUGCAUUUUUAAUUAUUAACUCGUUAGUAGAUAAUGGAAACGUGUUUAGAAAGAGAAAAGUUACUUCCAAGUGCAAAUCUACCAAAAUUAGGCUUGGGGAUGGAAAAAAAUGUCAUAGUUUUCCCUUGUGGUUACUAUAAGAAAGAGUCAUGAGUUUAUGUCGCAACAUGAGGCCUAAUUAGUUUUGGGCAGGUAAUCUUUCCAUGUCAGUCCUUUGGUUAUAUAGGCAUUAUUGUUAUUGUUCGCCCUUGCACUGCAGUAGCUCAAUCAAGACAAAGCUUUUCUCCGUUUUACUUUUGUGGACUUACAUAAUAUUUGUUGGAAAUAAAAUUACUAGUCUCAAAUCGAUCGAGCAAAUUCGGUAUAUCUCAUUGUGAAAUUCUUGCCUUUCUCUUUCAUGCAAUCUCUUGUCCAUGUCAUAAUGCAUUUUUUCCACAUUUGUCAAGCCAAACUGUUAUUUUUGCGCCAACUGGAACUUACGAGUGGAAUGGGCAUGAUGAUCAACCCCGUAAGUUGAACAGAUCGAGGAACUUUGAAAGGGGGGAAAAUAUGCAGAACAGAAAUUUCCGAGCCAGGGACAUGCCACCUAUACAUAACCAAGGGAUGCAGAACCCUCCACCUCUAGGAAUCAUGCUUCCACCAAAUAUGGGCAGUGGAAUCCCCCAAGGAUUACCUUUGCCGGAAUGCCUCUGCCCAGCCACCCUGGAUGCCCCUAAGCAAUUCAUGCGUAACUACAUCCCUUUCUCGAAUUUCCUUUAAAUAGAAAAAAAGAAAAAUGAUUUCCUAACAAUUGGGAGAACAUUUUAGGCGAUUGGGUCAGUUUAUGUAUCUUAACUGAAACAUAAGGUCCGUUUGUUUGAAGAAAAACUACUUCUGGAGAAUUAUUUUUUGACUCCUUAGUUGGGCAUGCGCUUAUUACAAUUCCAUCUAUAUCGUUCAAGAAGCUGUUCGCUGACCGGCCAGGCCCGUCGGAACCUGAAAAGGAGGAGGACUUAUUUAUCAACGUAGUGUAUCCUGACCAAGCCGACUUCAUGCAUUGGCUGGUCGUAAUGGAGGGGCCGGAGGGCGAUCCUACUAGAGAUGAGAUCAUCGAUACUUAUAUUAAGACGGUUGCGCAGGUUGUUAAAAGGUCAGUGGNNNNNNNNNNNNNNNNNNNNNNNNNNNNNNNNNNNNNNNNNNNNNNNNNNNNNNNNNNNNNNNNNNNNNNNNNNNNNNNNNNNNNNNNNNNNNNNNNNNNACAUGUUUGUUCAUCAUUAUUAUGGUUGUUGAUGAAAUGAAUGAGUAGGUUGAGACGGGUGCUGGGUUUUUCAACUUCAUAUUACUCAGACCAUGCUCUCUGCUUUGUACUCUGUUUCGCCUUUGUUUAUCGGUCAUUUUUUCGGCUUCUAAAUGGUAGUUGAUGAAAUGAACUGAGUAGGUUGAGACGGUUGCUGGGUUUUUCAACUUCAAAUUACUCAGAGCAUGUUCUCUGCUUGUACUCUGUUUUGCCUUUGUUUAUCGGUCAUUUUUCAGCUUCUCCGUGAUAUGUUGGAAUUACCUAUGGCUGGAGGGUGAGAUGACUGAAUUCUUCGUGCCAUGCUUUGCUUGUCUUUCACCAACGAGGUCUAAAAAUACAAUGACACACAGCUUUUCGUGAAUAACUAUUUUCUUGUUCUGGCCGAGAACAAUGACUCAUAAUUUGGUCUCUUAGCUCUGGUUUAAGUAAACUUCCAAUUAGAUCUCAGUAUGUUUUUCAGUGAUUAUUAUGCUGUCUCUUUCAGGUGCUUAAGCUUAAAGGUGAUUCCUUAUUGCUACUUUAUGUGGCAGCAUUGAUGCUGUGUUUUGAUUUAGAAUUGAUUUUGACAUGGAGGGAUGAUUGGGUCUGUUUCUUUUUUUCUUUCAUUGCCAGAUGUGGCACAUUUCCCUUUCAUGUGAUGUGAACCCUUCUUGAAAUUGGUCCUCAUUACAAUAUCAUAGUUAGUAUUAUGGUGACUAUGAGGAUGCUUAAGAAUGGUAUUUGGCGGGUACAGAAGCAACAGUUUCUCUCGCGUGUUAAUUAUUUUGCGAAUGGUUCUUGAAGUGAUGGUCCUUGCCUGUAGUCAUUGAUCAUCUCGAUUUAUUACUGUCCCUAUUAUUUUGUCUAACCACAAUUUGUUGCUUGCUACUACAGUGAAGAAAAAGCCAGGAGUAAGAUCUACACUGUUGAUACAGAGCCCUACUACUUUGCAUUUGGAGUCAACGUAUUUCCAAAGCUUGCUUUCAAACUUGCUGGUAAAGCUUCUUGAUCGGUUCUCUUUUUGCUUCUCUUUUUGGAAAGUGGCGCUAAUGAGUUCUGUUUGGUCGCACAGGUCUGCCUAGAGUUCGAUGGGUUGUUGUUGAUGCGUACCUGCCUCUGAGGAAAGGUUGUGGGGCAUGGAAGCUUUGAUCUUCUAAUUCUGCCAUGAACUUUGCAUCCUGGAGAUUACAUUCUCUCAUUUAUGAAAACCGCUGUGCUUUGUUGACCUCAGCAUGAGGCAAUUGUGCUGCUGCGAUCUUUGUUCUUGGCCGACUAUACGUGCUUGGCUUUUAUUCGGGCAAGUUUUGCACGUGAUCUAUUAUGUUAAUUGGUAUUCAAAUAUAGUGAUUAAGACAAUUUUUUAGC
rnacentral:lncRNA from 1 species